UUAUUACAAAUAUAAUUACAAAUUAUUUAUUAACUAAAAUAUAAGUAAUAAAAGUGCAUAUAUAUGUAUUUAUGAACGUAUAUUUUUAGACUCAUAUGUAUACAUGCUAUUCAGUAAUAAAAUGUGAAAUUUCGAUUUGAAAGAAUACUCUGAAGUAUUUUUGAUACGUUGUUAAAAUAUCGAGGUUAAGAUGCUAAUUUAACUCCUGUUCAAAAACGGAAUAGAAGGCAAUUUUUUAACUUUCUUCUAUAUUAUUAUCCAAAACAAAUAGACAUACAUUCAUUUUUCUGGAGUUCACACAUUUUUUGAUAUACUUUUUUUAUUGUGUUAUCACGUAAAUGUAAUAAAAUUUAAUUAUCGCUUAUAUAAAAUUUCAAUUCAGACUAAUCCAAUUCUAAGAAAGAAUGUCUUUUAUGGUAGAAAAUAGAUCAACCAAUGAAAUAAACAAUAAAGAGAGAGAACAUUUUCUUUCUUUAGAAGUAACUAAAGAUUAUAGCUUUAAGUACAUACCUGAGAGUCAUUUUAAACAUAUAGUAAAAAAUGUACAGAGACACAGACGUAAGGAGGAUGAGGAACGUAUCUGGGCUUCAUUCGUCAAAGAACAGGAGUUAAAUAGUUUGAGGUUUGACAAAAAAGAUGUUGACUAUUCUAUACAAAAUAUAAAAGAUCUGUUGCAAGAAAAUAUACAAAAUGUAGAUAGAGAAUUGAAAAGACUAGAAGAAGAUGCUCUUCCUGAACGAAGCAAAGGAAUUCAAAACCCUAAAUCUAAUGUUAAAAAUGAAAUGAUUUAUUCAAAAGUAAACAAUAUCAGAAAUAAUUCUUCAAAAGAAAAAAUAUUAACAAAGAAUAAAGAUACAUGCAAAACUAAUGUUUUAAUUCCAACUUCACAAAGCAAUAAUAUUUGUAUAUCUAAGGAAUUUGAAGGACAGAAAACAGUUUUUAGAUCCAAAGCUAAAAAAUCUUUGUCAGAUUCUACUAUCACAGAAAAAAAAUGUUUUACAAACCAACUUCUUCGUGCAACAAAUCAUUUUGAAAAUAAUUCUGAUACAGAUUCAAGUAAUAAUAAAAAUAUUGUUUAUAUACAACCAGAUCCACUUACUAUACAAAAACUUUUAUCAAUGCAAAAGAAAAUUGCUGAAUUGUUAGAUGAAAUUUUAUUUAGAUUAUGCAGAAUUCCUUUACCAGAUGGUGAAAAUGAUUUGAAAAGAAGACAACAACAAACAUUAGAAUUUGCUAUAAGAUUUUCAAGAAAUUAUUUAUACAAUUUAAAUAGAUUUGUUACAAGCAUUCAAAGACAUAUCAAAGCUGUGUCUUCAAGAUCAGGAUUAAAACAAUAUCAUAAAAAUAUUGCAUUUCAUCAAGAUAUGAUUAAACAAAAAUUAGUUGCUGCACAUCAAUUAUUAAUGCAAGCUUUAACUGCUUAUUGUAAACACAUUCCUAAUUCUAUUCUUGAUGGUCAUUCUACAAAAUUGCAAGAUGUAUUACAAAUUGUUUACAAUCUGAUAAAUAUUUGUGAUAAAAUUGAAAUCUCUUCUUAUUACUUUUGUUCUGGAGAUACCACCAUUAUACCGCUGGGAAAAAAUCUUCAAGAUAAAUGCGAUGCUAUAUUAGCGAAAUUGAAAUUAAAUUUAGAAAGCAAAUAUGGAUACGCGAAUUAUAAAAAUGCUCAAUCUUUUAUAACUACUGCAUCAAUAUCUUUACCUAACAAAGGACGUUUUAAUCGAAAAAAUUUAUCUAGUCGAUUAAGUAUGUACAAUAUGGAUGUUAAAAUAUCUAAGACUAACCAAAAAAGAAGAAAUUACAUAAGAAGAAAAAAUUAUACUUAUCAAAAAGAAAAUGGAAAUGAUACUAAGGAUGGUAAAAACUUAUAUACUCAGGAUUGCUCAUUAUCAGAAAUGUUGUAUCCCAGUCCUAUAACUCAUACAACUUCUUCUAGAGAUGUUGUUCAUAUUGAUUCUAUGAAAAAUAUAAACAACUUAAAAGAAGAUGAUAUUCAAACUAUGAUGGAAGGAAUAACGAUAGAUUCUGAAAAUGACAGCAAUAUAGAAAUUCAAACUAAAUGUAAACCUACUACAAAUAGUGAACCACAAUCUGUUGCAAUACGAAAAAAAGGGGGAAAUAUCAAAGUAGAAAAUGUUACUGAUGAAAAUGAUUUAAUUAAAAAAGUAACCACAAUUCCUAAAGAACAUUUGGCUACUUUAGUUCCUGUAAUAAACGAUUUAAUAACUUUUGUGUCGAGAAUGCAAAACGAAUCUGAGAUGCAACCUGUUUCGGAAACAUCCAUGGAAACAUUAAGAGAAUUUUUACAAAAAUAUCAGUCUCCUAAAGAUUAUGAUACUAGAACAACUUUAACAAAAAACAAUUAUGAACAAUCAUAUUGUAAUUUAAAUGGCUUAUCUGAAAUUAAAAAACGUGAUGAAAAUGUACAAUUCAUUUGUAUAUCUUCCAUGGAAAAAGUUCCUAAAAUGACUCAAUGUGAUGCUUCAUGUCAAGUAGAUUAUGAAAUUGCAUUAAAAAAGAAAUUGAGCUACAAUUUUUAACAUAUAGAUGUGAAUAUAAAAAAUUUUGUCAAUCAAAACCAAUGUAUUCCAGCAAUACACAAAAUAAACCAUGGGACAUUGUAGCAUGGAUAUCUGAUAAAUUGAUAGAGGAAUUAAUAAUUGAAAUAACAGAAGAGUUACAAAUGAAUAAUAUAAUUAAGAAACUGUUUGAAAUGGAGUUUCAAGAAUUGUAAUAACAAAGUUUGUGUAUAUGGAAUUAUUAUAAGAAAUCAUACUUAUACAAAGCAAAAAACUUUUCAAAUAUUUUUUAUUUAAAGUAUCACUUUUUAAAUAAAUUACUUUUCAUACCAA
rnacentral:misc_RNA from 1 species